UACGUAGGGGGCGAGCGUUGUCCGGAAUUACUGGGCGUAGAGGGCGCGUAGGCGGUUCGCUAAGUCCGUUGUGAAAGACCGAGGCUCAACCUCGGGGUGUCAACGGAGACUGGUGGACUCGAGUGUCGGAGAGGAGCGGGGAAUCCCUGGUGUAGCGGUGGAAUGCGUAGAGAUCAGGGGGAACACCGAUGGCGAAGGCACCGCUCUGGCCGAACACUGACGCUGAGGCGCGAAAGCUGGGGGAGCGAACGGG
rnacentral:rRNA from 1 species